AAGGGGCCUUGCCUACACGCUGUAGGCCCUGCACAGUCUUAGGAAUCGCCAGGAAGAAUGAACAACUGUCUUUGCGUAUUGAGAUGACACCUGCAAGAAGGAGAUGGCAACACCUGGAGGUAUGCGUGGGUCUGCAAAUUUGUGGCUACGACAGGACACCUGGGAUUUUAGGGAAACACUAAGGAGUCAUUGUGGAUCAUGCAAGGGGCAUUGGACCCUACCAGGCUGGACUUUCAGAGGGGCAGGCAUGCUGAGUUUUAGUUUAGAGUGGUUGCACGGGGGCCUCUUCAUCAUGAAUCUGGAAACCCUCUAUCAUUAAGGAUUAGUUCACAGAUUUCCUGAAAGUAAAAGAAAAAUGGAAAAGAAAAUAGGAAGACACCAGCCACCACCUUGCACAGACUCUGGGAUCUAAGACCACACAAUGAAAGGGAGAAAUCAGUGGCUGAAGGAGUCACUUCAUGACUGGGGAGUACAAAUGAUCUAGACCUGCACCGCCUGAUGCUGUAGUUACUACCCACAUGUGGCUAUUUAAGUUGAAAUUAAUUGAAAUUAAAUAAAAUAAAAAAUACAAUUCCUCAGUCACAGUGGUCAAGUGUCAAGUGCUUAAUAGCUGAAUGUAGCUAAUGGCAACUGUAUUAGACAGUGCAGAUUUCAUAAACCAUUUUAUAGGCCGUGUAUAUCAGCACAGAAAGUGCUACAAGACAGUGCUGAUGUGUCUCUUUACAUAAUCAGGUUUAAGCUGGCACUGUCUAGGGUAAUGGCUGAAAAUCAGGGUUUGUUCCUUCGGGACGACAGUUGGAGAAAUGGUCAACCCUUGGUUUCAUAAUAAUAAUGCCUUUGAAGGGAGUAAGCCAGAGAUAACUUCUUCACAAAAUUAAUGGUGUUUGUAUCUAGGUCUCCAAGCCCCAAUGAAGGAAUUUAAGAUUAAGAAAC
rnacentral:lncRNA from 10 species